rnacentral:snRNA from 1 species
AAAGGCAGGGGAGACACCAUAAUCAGGCAGGUGAUUUUCCCAGGGCGAGGCUCAUCCCCUGCUCUCUGGGUGUGCUGACCCCUGUGGUUUCCCCAAAUGCGGGAAACUCGACUGCAUAAUUUGUGAUAGUGGGGGACUGCGUUCGCACUCCCCUA